rnacentral:circRNA from 1 species
AAAACAUGAAGGAAUUAAAGGAGGCCAGGCCGCGCAAAGAUAACAGGCGUCCAGAUCUGGAAAUCUAUAAGCCUGGCCUUUCUCGGCUAAGGAACAAGCCCAAAAUCAAGGAACCCCCUGGGAGUGAGGAAUUCAAAGAUGAAAUUGUUAAUGACCGAGAUUGCUCUGCUGUUGAAAAUGGUACACAGCCCGUUAAAGAUGUCUGCAAGGAACUGAACAACCAAGAGCAGAAUGGUCCUAUAGACCCAGAAAAUAAUCGGGGACAAGAAUCCUUUCCUAGGACUGCUGGACAAGAGGAUCGUAGUCUAAAAAUUAUCAAAAGAACAAAGAAACCCGACCUGCAGAUCUAUCAGCCUGGACGACGUUUGCAGACUGUUAGCAAAGAAUCCGCCAGUCGGGUGGAGGAGGAAGAAGUCCUCAACCAGGUAGAACAACUGAGAGUAGAGGAAGAUGAGUGUAGGGGAAAUGUUGCGAAGGAGGAAGUUGCGAAUAAACCAGACAGGGCUGAGAUAGAAAAGAGCCCAGGUGGUGGGAGAGUAGGGGCUGCAAAAGGAGAAAAAGGAAAGAGGAUGGGAAAAGGGGAGGGGGUGAGGGAAACCCACGACGACCCAGCCCGCGGGAGGCCGGGCUCCGCAAAGCGCUACUCCCGCUCAGACAAACGAAGGAAUCGCUACCGCACGCGCAGCACCAGCUCAGCUGGCAGCAACAACAGCGCUGAGGGAGCUGGCCUGACGGAUAAUGGAUGUCGCCGCCGCCGACAGGAUAGGACCAAGGAGAGGCCACGACUGAAGAAGCAAGUGUCUGUGUCCUCAACCGAUUCCUUAGACGAGGACAGAAUUGAUGAGCCUGAUGGAUUAGGACCCAGGAGAAGUUCAGAAAGGAAGAGACAUUUAGAAAGAAACUGGUCUGGCCGUGGGGAGGGUGAGCAGAAAAACAGUGCUAAAGAAUAUCGAGGCACUCUUCGUGUCACUUUCGAUGCAGAAGCCAUGAACAAAGAGUCUCCCAUGGUGAGGUCAGCCAGGGAUGAUAUGGAUAGAGGAAAGCCUGACAAAGGCUUGAGCAGUGGGGGCAAAGGCUCUGAGAAGCAGGAGUCCAAAAACCCGAAACAAGAACUUCGGGGUCGUGGUCGUGGCAUUCUGAUUUUGCCUGCCCAUACCACCCUAUCUGUCAAUUCAGCAGGUUCUCCAGAGUCCGCGCCUUUGGGACCUCGGCUUUUGUUUGGAUCUGGUAGUAAGGGAUCUCGGAGUUGGGGCCGUGGAGGCACCACACGCCGAUUGUGGGACCCAAACAAUCCUGAUCAGAAACCUGCUCUAAAGACUCAGACGCCCCAGCUACAUUUCUUGGACACUGAUGAUGAAGUCAGCCCUACAUCUUGGGGUGACUCACGCCAGGCUCAGGCAUCUUACUAUAAGUUUCAAAACUCUGACAACCCCUAUUAUUACCCCCGGACACCAGGCCCUGCCUCCCAGUAUCCCUAUACGGGCUAUAACCCUCUACAGUACCCAGUGGGCCCUACGAAUGGUGUGUACCCAGGGCCUUACUACCCAGGCUACCCGACUCCGUCAGGACAGUAUGUGUGUAGCCCUCUACCUACCAGCACCAUGAGUCCCGAGGAGGUAGAGCAGCACAUGAGGAACCUGCAGCAACAGGAGCUGCACAGGCUUCUCCGGGUGGCUGACAACCAGGAACUGCAGCUCAGCAACCUGCUCUCCAGGGACCGCAUCAGUCCGGAGGGCCUGGAGAAGAUGGCGCAACUCAGAGCUGAACUGCUGCAGCUAUAUGAGCGCUGUAUUCUAUUAGAUAUUGAGUUCUCUGAUAAUCAGAAUGUGGAUCAGAUCCUGUGGAAGAAUGCUUUCUAUCAGGUGAUUGAGAAGUUCAGGCAACUUGUCAAGGAUCCGAAUGUUGAGAACCCAGAACAGAUUCGGAACAGACUUUUGGAGCUCUUGGAUGAGGGUAGUGACUUCUUUGAUAGUUUGCUUCAGAAGCUGCAGGUUACUUACAAGUUCAAACUGGAAGACUACAUGGAUGGUCUUGCCAUUCGCAGCAAGCCAUUACGCAAGACA